AUCCCUUUAGCUUAGUUGGAGAAAGCGUGUGACUACGAAUCACAAGAUCGGGAGUUCGAGUCUCUCAAGGGAUACCA
rnacentral:tRNA from 1 species